rnacentral:rRNA from 1 species
CCCUACUAUGCCUAGCCAUAACACAACAAUCAAAUCACUAAUUGUUCGCCAAAUAACUACGAGUAAAGACUUAAAAUUUAAAAGACUUGACGGUGCCUCACAACAACCUAGAGGAGCCUGUCAAGUAACCGAUACCCCACGAUUAACCCAACCCCCUCUAGCCUAACAGUCUAUAUACCGCCGUCGCCAGCUUACCUUAUGAAAGCAACAAAGUAAGCCAAAUAAUCACACACUAACACGACAGGUCGAGGUGUAACUUAUGGGGGGGACCAAGAUGGGCUACACUUUCUAAAACAGAAAAUACGGAUAAACCAUGAAAAAGAAACUGAAGGAGGAUUUAGCAGUAUGUUGAGAAUAGAACACCCAACAGAAACCAACGCAAUGAGGUGCGUACACACCGCCCGUCAUCCCUGUCAACUACCACUAAAAUACAUAAACACUAACAAUAACCAAAACA